AAAAGCUAGAAACGGCAGGUUGAUUAAAAGUGCAGACUGUCAUUACCCCAGAGAAACUGCUUCUUACAUGUUGAUUCCCCAGCAGAGGCAUCGCUUUUUCACUCUCUUUCGUCAUUUGAUCUUUUGAUCUUAUCAAUGUGGAUUCAGUACAAUGUGAAGAGUGAAAAUAAAUCUGCAAACAAGAAU